UUGGUCAACCAAAAAUCUUCCCACCCCAUUCCUUACUGGACCCAUCAUCUAACAAUCUCAACCGUCAAAUUCUCACCCCGUUGUACCGCAGCAGAACUCCCAACCGUUAGAUGAGCGUUUAAAUAUCACGCUCCUCAUCAGCGCGUGAAAUUCCUCGUCCACUCCCCUCACCCAGCUCUCUCACUGUCCUUCUUGGCUUCUUCUUUCUCAACUCACCCCAGAUUUCUUCCCCAGGAUCAUAGUUAGGAAAGAGUGUGAGGAUUCAUACUCAAGCUGUGUGUGAUAGUGUGUGAAAGAGAGAGAUCUCGAGAAAAAGGUAUGGCUUCUGUUCCUAAUUUAACUUUUGGGAAAACCCCUCAAGGAUUUCCCUGUAGUUAUUGUUUAUGUGUAUGUGUAAAAGGGUUUAAUUUAACUUUAGCAGUGUAGAGGACCCAAAAAUAUAGAAUUUGGGUUCUUGUGAAAUGGGGUUAAUUGUAUUUUAAGAUUGUAGAGAACCAAAGUAUAGAAAUAGGGUUUCUUGUAAAAUUGUGGGCUUUUGUGUUUAUGCAUGCAGCAGCUAAUUUCGAGGUAAAAGAUUGAAUUUUUCCCGGUGAAGAAAGUGAAGCUUGGGAUUUAUGUGUGUGAGUUGUGUUUAUGCAUGUGCUUUUUGUAUGUAGAUUAGUUGAAAAAGAUUAAAUUUCUAGGGUUUUGGGAGGUGGAUAAAUGGCUUCUGGAACAACAGUUGGUGGUGGAGACGGAGAAAAAGAAGGGUCUAAAGAGAAGCAGAGGUGGGCUGAAGAGAGCAAGGUGUAUAAAAGGAAGUCUGUCAAAGGGUUAAAGGAUAGUAGUGACAAGAACAACAGUUAUGGUGCCCAGCUGGGGCAAAGUCAAACUGGGAAACUUGGGAGUGAAGAUGGGAAUCUGUUGGAAGAACCUGUGUUUGGUGUGGCGUCCGGUGACUCAUCGAGUCGUCCACUGGGAGAUCGUGAAGUGUCUGGGAGAAAUGGGGUGGGGAAAGGUGGGUUUCUGAGGCAAGAAAAUAAGGUCACCAUCAAUUUGGCGAUGAAGUCGAAAAGGGAGGCACGGGAGCUGAGGAAAAGGCUCGAGAGCGAGUUGGACGAGAUUAGGAGAUUGGUGAAAAAGAUUGAAGGGCAGGAGGGGAAAAAGAGCAGUAAAGCUGGACGUGGUGUUGAUAAUGGUGGGAAGUUGAAACGGGUCCAUUCCGAGGUGGAUUCUGUUGGAACGCCUCGCAUUUCCAAGCCUUUGCAUCAGUUGAGCGUAUCAGUGGUGGAGAACAGCAAUGACAAUGGGGAUAAAGAGAAACGGACGCCCAAGGCAAAUAAAUUCUACAAGAAUACAGACUUUUUGCUUGCAAAGGAUAAGUUUCCUUCUGCAGAAGGCAACAAGAAGUCUAAAUCUGGUGCUGGGAAGAAAGCUGGAGGGGGUGAAUCAGGACAUGGGUUUGUUUCAGGGAAGUUUUCUAAUCAAAUGUUGAAGAAUUGUAGCUCUUUGCUUGAUCGAUUGAUGAAGCAUAAGCAUGGAUGGGUGUUCAACAAACCUGUUGAUACUGUGCAUCUUGGUUUGCACGAUUACUUUGACAUUAUUAAGAAUCCAAUGGAUUUGGGUACUGUAAAAGCUAGGCUUAGCAAUAACGGGUAUAAAUCUCCUAAGGAGUUUGCAGAGGAUGUGAGACUUACAUUUCAAAAUGCUAUGACAUAUAACCCUAAGGGGCAAGAUGUUCACGUGAUGGCUGAGGAGCUAUUAAAGAAUUUUCAGGACAAAUGGGCUGCUAUUGAGGCGGAAUAUAUGCAUGAGAUGAUGCAUGGCCCGGAUUCUGAAGUGGGUUUACCGACUCCUAAAUCUAAGAAAGCUCCUCCAGCAGUAAUGGAACCUCCUGAAAUGAGGACUUUAAGCAGGUCAAAGUUUAUUAGCAAUCCUGUUGAUCCCAAAACCAAAACCAUGAUUUCUGCUGGUUCAGGGAGAACUGCAGCCCCAAAAAAGCCAAAGGCAAAAGAGCCCAAUAAAAGGGAAAUGACAUACGACGAAAAACAAAAACUUAGCACAAAUUUGCAGAGUUUGCCUUCUGAAAAGCUUGAAAAUGUUGUGCAGAUUAUAAAGAAGAGGAACCCUUCUCUGUGCCAAAAUGAGGAUGAGAUUGAAGUUGACAUUGACAGUGUUGAUACUGAAACUCUUUGGGAGCUGGAUAGAUUUGUAACAAACUUCAAGAAGAGUCUGAGCAAGAACAAACGAAAAGCUGAGCUUGCCAAUCAAGGAAAGGGAGAAGCAGCCCGGAGUGUUCCAGAAAAGGACCUUGCCCCAGCUGCAGCAGAAACUCUGAAAGAAAGGAAGAUGGCUAAGAAAAAUUAUUCAUCUCAAACUGAAGUGGAAAAGAAGAGAGAUAAUGCAAGUCGAUCAACUAACUCAAGCGGCUCGAACGCGGACUCGGGAUCUUCCUCAGGGGACUCUGAUAGUGGAAGUGCUUCAGAUGGAUCCGAUGCAUGACAUUGAACUAGGAAUUAGAGUUACUUGUCAAUCUGCUGUUGACACUCCCCAAAUGUUGAUAAUUCUGGAGUGCCUGUAAAGCUGUCAAAGAUUGAGGGAAGAGGAUAGAGAUUUCAUUAAAUUCUUUGUCUCAUUUUGUUUUAACGAAGAAUCGUGCUCAAGUCUAAUAUUCAUGUUUCUACCAUCUUGCCUAGAUUUAUUGUUACAAACCUGUGGCCGAGCUUGACUGCAUAUCGAUCUUCUCUUGAAACAAUGGUCUCCAUCGACAGUAAGCUGUUUUAGGUGAUGGUUUUAGCAACAGAUGUUUCUGGACAACCUGGAGAAUGAUGCAGAUGCUUCUUUAUUGUACAUUGUUGUAGCUUUUGUACAUAGCUAACUACUGCUGGCCAGUGUUCUGUGAAUUUGUCUGGUGGUUUACAGCAGCGUUGGAUAAAAUAUUUCGCAGUUAAAUGCAAUUGUAUGUAUGUAUUAGUAAUAGUGGUAUGCUGUCGUUGACCUAAGAGGCAUUCUUUGUGUAAAGUCUUGUUCUUGGUCUUGGAUCUUUCUUGAUAAGUUAAUUUCAUAUUGCCCUUAGCUUUACUGCUUUUACUAUCAA